rnacentral:rRNA from 1 species
CCUACGGGAGGCAGCAGUGGGGAAUAUUGGACAAUGGGGGCAACCCUGAUCCAGCCAUGCCGCGUGAGUGAUGACGGCCUUAGGGUUGUAAAGCUCUUUUCUCCGGGACGAUAAUGACGGUACCGGAGGAAUAAGCCCCGGCUAACUUCGUGCCAGCAGCCGCGGUAAUACGAAGGGGGCUAGCGUUGCUCGGAAUCACUGGGCGUAAAGGGCGCGUAGGCGGCUGAUUUAGUCGAGGGUGAAAGCCCGUGGCUCAACCACGGAAUGGCCUUCGAUACUGGUUGGCUUGAGACCGGAAGAGGACAGCGGAACUGCGAGUGUAGAGGUGAAAUUCGUAGAUAUUCGCAAGAACACCAGUGGCGAUGGCGGCUGUCUGGUCCGGUUCUGACGCUGAGGCGCGAAAGCGUGGGGAGCAAACAGGAUUAGAUACCCUGGUAGUCCACGCUGUAAACGAUGAAUGCUAGCCGUUGGGGUGCAUGCACCUCAGUGGCGCCGCUAACGCAUUAAGCAUUCCGCCUGGGGAGUACGGUCGCAAGAUUAAAACUCAAAGGAAUUGACGG